AUGCAUGUCUUAGUACAUACUUGUGCAUAGUGAAACCGCGAAUGGCUCAUUAAAUCAGUUAUGGUUUCUUAGAUCGUACAAUCCUACUUGGAUAACUGUGGCAAUUCUAGAGCUAAUACAUGCAACCAAAGCUCCGACCUCACGGGAAGAGCGUGUUUAUUAGUUCAAAACCAAUCGGUCGCAAGACCGUCCCAUUGGUGACUCUGGAUAACUUUGUGCUGAUCGCACGGCCUCGAGCCGGCGACGUAUCUUUCAAAUGUCUGCCCUAUCAACUUUAGAUGGUACGUGCUAUGCCUACCAUGGUUGUAACGGGUAACGGGGAAUCAGGGUUCGAUUCCGGAGAGGGAGCAUGAGAAACGGCUACCACA
rnacentral:rRNA from 1 species